rnacentral:rRNA from 1 species
CCUACGGGAGGCAGCAGUGAGGAAUAUUGGUCAAUGGACGAGAGUCUGAACCAGCCAAGUAGCGUGAAGGAUGACUGCCCUAUGGGUUGUAAACUUCUUUUAUAUGGGAAUAAAAUGUUCCACGUGUGGGAUUUUGUAUGUACCAUAUGAAUAAGGAUCGGCUAACUCAGUGCCAGCAGCCGCGGUAAUACGGAGGAUCCGAGCGUUAUCCGGAUUUAUUGGGUUUAAAGGGAGCGUAGGUGGAUUGUUAAGUCGGUUGUGAAAGUUUGCGGCUCAACCGUAAAAUUGCAGUUGAAACUGGCAGUCUUGAGUACAGUAGAGGUGGGCGGAAUUCGUGGUGUAGCGGUGAAAUGCUUAGAUAUCACGAAGAACUCCGAUUGCGAAGGCAGUUCACUGGACUGCAACUGACACUGAGGCUCGAAAGUGUGGGUAUCAAACAGGAUUAGAUACCCCAGUAGUC